UAGGGAAUCUUCCGCAAUGGACGAAAGUCUGAAGGAGCAACGCCGCGUGAGUGAUGAAGGUUUUCGGAUCGUAAAGCUCUGUUGUUAGGGAAGAACAAGUACCGUUCAAAUAGGGCGGUACCUUGACGGUACCUAACCAGAAAGCCACGGCUAACUACGUGCCAGCAGCCGCGGUAAUACGUAGGUGGCAAGCGUUGUCCGGAAUUAUUGGGCGUAAAGGGCUCGCAGGCGGUUUCUUAAGUCUGAUGUGAAAGCCCCCGGCUUAACCGGGGAGGGUCAUUGGAAACUGGGGAACUUGAGUGCAGAAGAGGAGAGUGGAAUUCCACGUGUAGCGGUGAAAUGCGUAGAGAUGUGGAGGAACACCAGUGGCGAAGGCGACUCUCUGGUCUGUAACUGACGCUGAGGAGCGAAAGCGUGGGGAGCGAACAGG
rnacentral:rRNA from 1 species